GACGAACGCUGGCGGCGUGCUUAACACAUGCAAGUCGAGCGGAGCGGCGAACGGGUGAGUAACGCGUGAGUAACUGCCCCCCUCUCUGGGAUAACAGUUGGAAACGGCUGCUAAUACCGGAUAGUGGGGGGGGACUCGCGUCCUAUCAGCUUGUUGGUUGGGUAGUGGCCUACCAAGGCGACGACGGGUAGCCGGCCUGAGAUGGCGACCGGCCAACGGGUGAUGGGUUACGGCACCAACUCCUACGGGGGGCAGCGGUGGGGAAUAUGGCACAAGGGGGGAAUCCCUGAUGCAGCAACGCCGCGGGCGGGAUGACGGCCUUCGGGUUGUAAACCGCUUUCAGCCAUGACGCGGUAGUGGCAGAAGAAGCACCGGCUAACUACGUGCCAGCAGCCGCGGUAAUUC
rnacentral:rRNA from 1 species